rnacentral:precursor_RNA from 7 species
ACGGCAGCCCCCGACGGAGGGAUGUUUCUGUCUUUGGUUAUCUAGCUGUAUGAGUGUUGUGGAGCCAUCAUAAAGCUAGAUAACCGAAAGUAGAAAUGACUUCCAGACCUGCGCGCCCGGG